rnacentral:rRNA from 1 species
ACUCGUGUUGUUCUGUAGUCUAAGGCAAAAGAUUUUAAUCACAAUUGAUAAAACUUUCAACAACGGAUCUCUUGGCUCUGGCAUCGAUGAAGAACGCAGCGAAAUGCGAUAAGUAAUGUGAAUUGCAGAAUUUAGUGAAUCAUCGAAUCUUUGA